UCGCCUGUUUUUCAAAAACAUGUCUUUUUGAGUUAUUUUUAAAGUCUGACCUGCCCACUGAAAUUUUUAAAUGGCCGCAGUAUCCUAACUGUGCAAAGGUAGCAUAAUCAUUAGUCUUUUAAUUGAAGGCUGGUAUGAACGGUUGGACGAGGUAUAAGCUGUUUCAUAUAAAUUUAUAAUAGAAUUUUAUAUUUUAGUCAAAAAGCUAAAAUAUUAUUAAAAGACGAGAAGACCCUAUAAAUCUUUAUAUUUUUUUUUAUUUAGAUUUUUUGGAUUUAUUUUAUUUUUAUAAUAGAAAAUAUUUUGUUGGGGUGAUGUUAAAAUUUAAUGAACUUUUAAUUAUAAAAAAUCAUUAAUUUAUGAGUUACUGAUCCAUUAGUAGUGAUUAUAAGAUUAAGUUACUUUAGGGAUAACAGCGUAAUUUUUUUGGAGAGUUCAUAUCGAUAAAAAAGUUUGCGACCUCGAUGUUGGAUUAAGAUAUAAUUUUAGGUGUAGCCGCUUAAAUGUUAAGUCUGUUCGACUUUUAAAUUCUUACGUGAUCUGAGUUCAGACCGGA
rnacentral:rRNA from 1 species